AGAGUUUGAUCAUGGCUCAGGAUGAACGCUAGCGGCAGGCUUAACACAUGCAAGUCGAGGGGCAGCAUGUCCAGCAAUGGAUGAUGGCGACCGGCGGAAGGGUGCGUAACGCGUGAGCAACAUGCCCUAUACAGGGAGAUACACCAGGGAAACUUGGCCUAAUAUCCCAUAGCAUUCAUUGAAGGCAUCUUUAAUGAAUUAAAGCUUCGGUGGUAUGGAUUGGCUCGCGUGACAUUAGCCAGAUGGUGAGGUAACGGCUCACCAUAGCAAUGAUGUCUAGGGGUUUUGAGAGGAAGGCCCCCCACACUGGGACUGAGACACGGCCCAGACUCCUACGGGAGGCAGCAGUGAGGAAUAUUGGACAAUGGAUGGAAAUCUGAUCCAGCCAUGCCGCGUGCAGGAAGACGGCCUUAUGGGUUGUAAACUGUUUUUAUCCCCCCGCAAUAAGGGUUACGAGUAAUCCGAUAAAAGAAGGGGGGAAUAAGGAUCGGCUAACUCCGUGCCAGCAGCCGCGGUAAUACGGAGGAUCCGAGCGUUAUCCGGAAUUAUUGGGUUUAAAGGGUGCGUAGGCGGCCAUUUAAGUCAGCGGUGAAAUUUUGCAGCUUAACUGUAACAGUGCCGUUGAUACUGUUUGGCUAGGAUUUGGUUGUAGUGUGCGGAAUGUGUGGUGUAGCGGUGAAAUGCUUAGAUAUCACACAGAACACCGAUUGCGAAGGCAGCACACUAAGUCAUUAUUGACGCUGAGGCACGAAAGUGUGGGGAUCAAACAGGAUUAGAUACCCUGGU
rnacentral:rRNA from 1 species